GUGGGGAAUAUUGGACAAUGGGCGAAAGCCUGAUCCAGCCAUGCCGCGUGUGUGAAGAAGGUCUUCGGAUUGUAAAGCACUUUAAGUUGGGAGGAAGGGCAUUAACCUAAUACGUUAGUGUUUUGACGUUACCGACAGAAUAAGCACCGGCUAACUUCGUGCCAGCAGCCGCGGUAAUACGAAGGGUGCAAGCGUUAAUCGGAAUUACUGGGCGUAAAGCGCGCGUAGGUGGUUCAGUAAGUUGGAUGUGAAAUCCCCGGGCGCAACCUGGGAACUGCAUCAAAAACUGCUGAGCUAGAGUACGGUAGAGGGUGGUGGAAUUUCCUGUGUAGCGGUGAAAUGCGUAGAUAUAGGAAGGAACACCAGUGGCGAAGGCGACCACCUGGACUGAUACUGACACUGAGGUGCGAAAGCGUGGGGAGCAAACAGGAUUAGAUACCCUAGUAGUCC
rnacentral:rRNA from 1 species